UACAGAGGGUGCGAGCGUUAAUCGGAAUUACUGGGCGUAAAGCGCGCGUAGGCGGCUUUGCAAGUCGGGUGUGAAAUCCCCAGGCUUAACCUGGGAACUGCAUUCGAGACUGCAUGGCUAGAGUAUGGGAGAGGGAAGCGGAAUUUCAGGUGUAGCGGUGAAAUGCGUAGAUAUCUGAAGGAACAUCAGUGGCGAAAGCGACUUCCUGGACCAAUACUGACGCUCAUGUGCGAAAGCGUGGGGAGCAAACAGG
rnacentral:rRNA from 1 species